UAGGGAAUCUUCCGCAAUGGGCGAAAGCCUGACGGAGCAACGCCGCGUGAGUGAUGAAGGUCUUCGGAUCGUAAAACUCUGUUAUUAGGGAAGAACAAGUGUGUAAGUAACUAUGCACGUCUUGACGGUACCUAAUCAGAAAGCCACGGCUAACUACGUGCCAGCAGCCGCGGUAUUACGUAGGUGGCAAGCGUUAUCCGGAGUUAUUGGGCGUAAAGCGCGCGUAGGCGGUUUUUUAAGUCUGAUGUGAAAGCCCACGGAUCAACCGUGGAGGGUCAUUGGAAACUGGAAGACUUGAGUGCAGAAGAGGAAAGUGGAAUUCCAUGUGUAGCGGUGAACUACGCAGAGAUAUGGAGGAACACCAGUGGCGAAGGCGGCUUCCUGGUCUGUAACUGACGCUGAUGUGCUAAGGCAUGGGGAUCAAACAGG
rnacentral:rRNA from 1 species